rnacentral:lncRNA from 1 species
CUCCCUUUGAUGACAUCAUCACCGCCCGAUGACGUCACAGUGAUGUCACACCCCGCCGUUUGGGGGGGUUUAUUAAAAGCUGGGGGGGGGGAAAUUUGGCAAAAUCCGCGCCCCCUCCCCAAAAUAAAUACACGGCACCCGGGGGCGGGGCUGGGCUGCGGCAGCCAAUCAGCUCCGGCCACGCCUGGCCACGCCCCGGCCACGCCCGGCCGUGGGUCACGGCCCGGUGCCGCUAUGGGGGGCAGGGGGGGCGGGGCGGGGUCAGUCCGGGCCCCACUUGGGGGUCAGUCCGGCCCCACUUUGGGGUCAGUCCGGGCCCCACUUGGGGGUCAGUCUGGGCCACACCUGGGGGUCAGUCCGGGCCCAUUUGGGGUCAGUUUGGGCCCCACUUUGGGGUCAGUUGUGGCCACACCUGGGGGUCAGUCUGGACCCCACUUGGGGGUCAGUCCGGGCCCCACUUUGGGGUCAGUCCAGGCCCCAUUUGGGGUCAGUUGUGGCCACUUGGGGGUCACUCCGGACUCCACUUGGGGGUCAGUUGUGGCCGCACUUGGGGGUCAGUCCAGGCCACAUUUGGGGGUCAGUCCAGGCCCAUUUGGGGGUCAAUUGUGGCCGCACUUGGGGGUCAGUCCCACAUCCCACCAUGGGUCACUUUGUCCCCACUUGGGGGUCACUUUGUCCCCACUGGGGGGUCACUUUGUCCCCACUCGGGGGUCCGUCCCUGCCCCACUGCCCGGUCCCCGUGGGGCCGCAGGCCCGGGGGUCACUGCGGGGUCCCUCCGUGGGGCAGCCUGGGGCGCUGGGGGUCACUCGGGGGCACUGCCGGACACCGGGGGUCGCUCUGGGCGGCCGUGGGGCUGUGGGGGUCGCUCCGGGGGUCGCUCUGGGGGUCACUUGUGGCCGUGGAGUCAAUCCGGGGGUCACUCCGUGAGUUGCUCCGGGGGUCACUCCGGGGGUCACUCUGAGGGUCGCUCUGGGGGUCGCUCCAGGGGUCACUCAUGGCCAUGGGGUCACCGGUGGCUGUGGGGUCACUGCGGUGGUCACUCCUGUGGUCACUGGUGA